GGAGGAAAGCAGGGGAUCGCAAGACCUUGCGCUUUUGGAGUGGCCGAUGCCUGAUUAGCUAGUUGGUGGGGUAAUGGCCUACCAAGGCGACGAUCAGUAGUUGGUCUGAGAGGACGACCAGCCACACUGGGACUGAGACACGGCCCAGACUCCUACGGGAGGCAGCAGUGGGGAAUUUUGGACAAUGGGCGAAAGCCUGAUCCAGCAAUGCCGCGUGAGUGAAGAAGGCCUUCGGGUUGUAAAGCUCUUUCAGUCGAGAAGAAAAGGUUGUGACUAAUAAUCACAACUCAUGACGGUAUCGACAGAAGAAGCACCGGCUAACUACGUGCCAGCAGCCGCGGUAAUACGUAGGGUGCGAGCGUUAAUCGGAAUUACUGGGCGUAAAGGGUGCGCAGGCGGCUUUGUAAGUCAGAUGUGAAAUCCCCGGGCUUAACCUGGGAAU
rnacentral:rRNA from 1 species